ACUUCCGCUUCCGGCAACGGCGCCGGAAGCACGGGUCCGGGCCCUCCCGCGGGGCGGGUACUCGUCUCCCGGCCGAGCGACUUCAGCUCGGGGACCUGCCCCAUGGCCGCUCCCCAGCAGGACAGGGAAACCGCCGAGGUGGGGGGCUUCUUGUCCGUCCCAGCCCCCCCAACUCAGGCCCUCUCGCUGCCCCUGGCGACCACCGCGUGCGCCCUUCCCCAGGGCGGGCGCAGUCCUGGACGCCUCCGCCGAGCGUGACUGCGUGCAUUUUCUCUCCUUUCCCUUCCCAACCUGCGGAGAGAAGACAGCCCCAGAGCCGCUGUCUCCAUCCUCUGCUGAUGCCUGCUGUCUUUAUGUUGGCCUCGUCGUCCGCACUGCAGUGUGGCAGGGGCGUCCCUCGUUUCCCGCGGACUGAGGUGGGCGCCGGGCAUUCAGUAAACGAAGAAACCAAAGCGGAGAAGGUUGGGAAUCAAACGUCUGUCAUACCUGCCACCAGCAGACAAGCGGCUUUGGGUACCUCCUGGACCCAAAGACGAACUCAGCCCCUCCAGGAGCGCAGUCAUUGGCACCCUCGUGGGAACAAUGCCAGUGGGAUGGGUGGCCACCGGAUGUUUCCGGGGCCCCUCAGAGGCCCAGCAGCGCAGGUCUUGGAGAAUGAAUGUGGGUCACUGGGCCGCGCUGCAGAGGGCCGGUCCUGAGUCGCUUCCUGGAGGAGAGGCCCAUGGCCAGCACUUGGCUUCGCCUGGAGGAAGAAGCACGUGCUAAACCACGAGCGUUCAGGGUUUGUCUGUUUGAUAAAAGAUGCUGGCUUUGACACACCAACUGACAAAGUCUUUCAUAGGUUGGAGCUGCUAGGUUGUGCCCCUGCCCCUCCUGAAAAUUAGCCACACGAAAGGAAGGGUCUGGAAGGUGGCAGGGAAGCCAGCAGAGACCAGGGAAGUGGCAGCAGCAUGGGGCAGGGGCACACAGGAAGGAGAUGGAGCUUGCGGGAGCCCCCACUGCCACUCCGACAGGGAGCCCUGCCCCGUGCCCUGCUGAUGUUGACACUGACCCCGGCUCUAUUAUUUCAGUUUUUCCUUGUAAUUUCUGAAAAUCUAGCAACAAGUUGAGCAAUGAAAAAAAGUAAAAAAGUUAAAAUUGUGUUAGAAAUUAUGACUGUAAAGAAAUUUUGAAACUAAUGAAGAAAAAAUUGCCAAAAUUGCCAAAGCUUUUAGGACUCUUAAAAAUAUAGUAACAUUGAGUAUUAUGAACUAAAGACUCAUACUAUUAUAUCAGUGUCUGGUAGUGAAUUUGGAUGGAGGACUGUCUAGUAACUUCUUAACAAAAC
rnacentral:lncRNA from 1 species